rnacentral:rRNA from 1 species
GACGAAGGGGGCUAGCGUUGUUCGGAAUUACUGGGCGUAAAGAGCGCGCAGGCGGUCAAGUCAGUCGAAUGUGAAAGCCCCCGGCUCAACUGGGGAGGGUCAUUCGAUACUGCUCGACUUGAAGGCAGGAGAGGGAAGUGGAAUUCCCGGUGUAGUGGUGAAAUGCGUAGAUAUCGGGAGGAACACCAGUGGCGAAGGCGGGUCUCUGGACAGUUCCUGACACUGAGGCACGAAGGCCAGGGGAGCAAACGGG